CCCUUGGACACUCUAGGCGGCACGCGCGCUACAAUGGGUGGAAGAACGUGUUACUGCCUCCGAAAGGAGGGGUGAAUCACGAAUUCUUGCCCGUGAAUGGGAUAGUUUGUUGCAAUUUUCGGACUUGAACUAGGAAUCCCUUGUAAACAUGCUCAAGAAUAGCGUGUUGAAUACGUCCCUGCCGUUUGUACACACCGCCCGUCGUUUCUUCCGACUGAUACUCAUUGUGAGUUGCAAGGACCCUUUAUUGGGAAAUUGCUGCAAAUGCUUUGUAUUGGAGGAAGAAAAAGUCGUAACA
rnacentral:rRNA from 1 species